rnacentral:rRNA from 1 species
UGCGCAGUGACCUAGUUCAACGGCCGCGGUAUCCUAACCGUGCGAAGGUAGCGUAAUCACUUGUUCUUUAAAUGAGGACUAGUAUGAAUGGCACCACGAGGGUUAAACUGUCUCCUUUUUUUAAUCAGUGAAACUAAUCUCCCCGUGAAGAAGCGGGGAUUCUUUUAUAAGACGAGAAGACCCUAUGGAGCUUUAAACAAGUUAACACCUGCUACUAAUCUUCACUUUCCUGAAUCACCACAUUAAAUAUAGCACCUCUGAUUAACAGUUUUCGAUUGGGGUGAUCAUGGAGCAAAAAUUAACCUCCACGACGAAAAGGAACACCUCCUUGAGCCAAAAGCUACAACUUUAAGCACUAAAAAACUAACGCACUUUGACCCAAUUCUUUGAGCAACGAACCAAG